rnacentral:misc_RNA from 1 species
GUAACUCGAACAAAUUCUUCAACCAUUUGUAUUAUCCUGGUUCAAACACAAGGAAAGACAACCCGGCAGGAACAAGUAGGAUCAAAGUACUUCUAACUUAUGAUCAGAAGAUUGGCUGCAAAACAAUGCAUGCAACUUGGCAAAUGAUCAAUCAUGACUAAAUAACUUAAUAUACAAGUAGCUUGGCAACAACGAAGAUCCAAAUUAAAGUUGCUAUACUUUCUUUCAAAGUUUCCUCAGAUUGAAAAGAAAUCACCUAAUAACUCAGCUGCUUAGCUUGUUUUCUCUGUGGAUUUGGCAAUUACCGAGCAGUCCUUAGUAUGUCAUUGCCACAGGCAAGAGAAAUAAAUUGCAUAGAGACUCUUUAAAUCUUCUCAAAAUAGUGGAGUCAAAGAAGCCACCGGCUGCAUGACUAAAGGAAAAAUGUUGUUUGCUGUUGAACAUCUACUUAGUCAAACACUUGAUCGGUAUCUUGUAAUGGGAAUUUCUCGUAAUUCACGUUUUAUACACAAAUAUUCACCUAACAAUGCCAUCACAGCAAGCCCAGUAACAUUCACAAUCCACCAUGUUAAUGAGGAAGGCCAAC